CCUACGGGAGGCAGCAGUGAGGAAUAUUGGUCAAUGGACGAGAGUCUGAACCAGCCAAGUAGCGUGAAGGAUGACUGCCCUAUGGGUUGUAAACUUCUUUUAUAAAGGAAUAAAACGAGGCACGUGUGCCUUUUUGCAUGUACUUUAUGAAUAAGGAUCGGCUAACUCCGUGCCAGCAGCCGCGGUAAUACGGAGGAUGCGAGCGUUAUCCGGAUUUAUUGGGUUUAAAGGGUGCGCAGGCGGGAGAUCAAGUCAGCGGUAAAAUGUCGGGGCUCAACCCCGGCCGGCCGUUGAAACUGGUUUUCUAGAGUGGGAGAGAAGUAUGCGGAAUUCGUGGUGUAGCGGUGAAAUGCAUAGAUAUCACGAAGAACUCCGAUUGCGAAGGCAGCAUACCGGCUCCAUACUGACGCUGAGGCACGAAAGCGUGGGGAUCGAACAGGAUUAGAUACCCGAGUAGUC
rnacentral:rRNA from 1 species